rnacentral:rRNA from 1 species
UUAAGCGACUAAGCGUACACGGUGGAUGCCCUGGCAGUCAGAGGCGAUGAAGGACGUGCUAAUCUGCGAUAAGCGUCGGUGAGGUGAUAUGAACCGUUAUAACCGGCGAUUUCCGAAUGGGGAAACCCAGUGUGUUUCGACACACUAUCAUUAACUGAAUCCAUAGGUUAAUGAGGCGAACCGGGGGAACUGAAACAUCUAAGUACCCCGAGGAAAAGAAAUCAACCGAGAUUCCCCCAGUAGCGGCGAGCGAACGGGGAGGAGCCCAGAGCCUGAAUCAGUGUGUGUGUUAGUGGAAGCGUCUGGAAAGGCGUGCGAUACAGGGUGACAGCCCCGUACACAAAAAUGCACAUAUUGUGAGCUCGAUGAGUAGGGCGGGACACGUGGUAUCCUGUCUGAAUAUGGGGGGACCAUCCUCCAAGGCUAAAUACUCCUGACUGACCGAUAGUGAACCAGUACCGUGAGGGAAAGGCGAAAAGAACCCCGGCGAGGGGAGUGAAAAAGAACCUGAAACCGUGUACGUACAAGCAGUGGGAGCCUCUUAAUGGGGUGACUGCGUACCUUUUGUAUAAUGGGUCAGCGACUUAUAUUCUGUAGCAAGGUUAACCGAAUAGGGGAGCCGAAGGGAAACCGAGUCUUAACUGGGCGUUAAGUUGCAGGGUAUAGACCCGAAACCCGGUGAUCUAGCCAUGGGCAGGUUGAAGGUUGGGUAACACUAACUGGAGGACCGAACCGACUAAUGUUGAAAAAUUAGCGGAUGACUUGUGGCUGGGGGGGAAAGGCCAAUCAAACCGGGAGAUAGCUGGUUCUCCCCGAAAGCUAUUUAGGUAGCGCCUCGUGAAUUCAUCUCCGGGGGUAGAGCACUGUUUCGGCAAGGGGGUCAUCCCGACUUACCAACCCGAUGCAAACUGCGAAUACCGGAGAAUGUUAUCACGGGAGACACACGGCGGGUGCUAACGUCCGUCGUGAAGAGGGAAACAACCCAGACCGCCAGCUAAGGUCCCAAAGUCAUGGUUAAGUGGGAAACGAUGUGGGAAGGCCCAGACAGCCAGGAUGUUGGCUUAGAAGCAGCCAUCAUUUAAAGAAAGCGUAAUAGCUCACUGGUCGAGUCGGCCUGCGCGGAAGAUGUAACGGGGCUAAACCAUGCACCGAAGCUGCGGCAGCGACACUAUGUGUUGUUGGGUAGGGGAGCGUUCUGUAAGCCUGUGAAGGUGGCCUGUGAGGGUUGCUGGAGGUAUCAGAAGUGCGAAUGCUGACAUAAGUAACGAUAAAGCGGGUGAAAAGCCCGCUCGCCGGAAGACCAAGGGUUCCUGUCCAACGUUAAUCGGGGCAGGGUGAGUCGACCCCUAAGGCGAGGCCGAAAGGCGUAGUCGAUGGGAAACAGGUUAAUAUUCCUGUACUUGGUGUUACUGCGAAGGGGGGACGGAGAAGGCUAUGUUGGCCGGGCGACGGUUGUCCCGGUUUAAGCGUGUAGGCUGGUUUUCCAGGCAAAUCCGGAAAACCAAGGCUGAGGCGUGAUGACGAGGCACUACGGUGCUGAAGCGACAAAUGCCCUGCUUCCAGGAAAAGCCUCUAAGCAUCAGGUAACAUCAAAUCGUACCCCAAACCGACACAGGUGGUCAGGUAGAGAAUACCAAGGCGCUUGAGAGAACUCGGGUGAAGGAACUAGGCAAAAUGGUGCCGUAACUUCGGGAGAAGGCACGCUGAUAUGUAGGUGAAGCGACUUGCUCGUGGAGCUGAAAUCAGUCGAAGAUACCAGCUGGCUGCAACUGUUUAUUAAAAACACAGCACUGUGCAAACACGAAAGUGGACGUAUACGGUGUGACGCCUGCCCGGUGCCGGAAGGUUAAUUGAUGGGGUUAGCGGCAACGCGAAGCUCUUGAUCGAAGCCCCGGUAAACGGCGGCCGUAACUAUAACGGUCCUAAGGUAGCGAAAUUCCUUGUCGGGUAAGUUCCGACCUGCACGAAUGGCGUAAUGAUGGCCAGGCUGUCUCCACCCGAGACUCAGUGAAAUUGAACUCGCUGUGAAGAUGCAGUGUACCCGCGGCAAGACGGAAAGACCCCGUGAACCUUUACUAUAGCUUGACACUGAACAUUGAGCCUUGAUGUGUAGGAUAGGUGGGAGGCUUUGAAGUGUGGACGCCAGUCUGCAUGGAGCCGACCUUGAAAUACCACCCUUUAAUGUUUGAUGUUCUAACGUUGGCCCGUAAUCCGGGUUGCGGACAGUGUCUGGUGGGUAGUUUGACUGGGGCGGUCUCCUCCUAAAGAGUAACGGAGGAGCACGAAGGUUGGCUAAUCCUGGUCGGACAUCAGGAGGUUAGUGCAAUGGCAUAAGCCAGCUUGACUGCGAGCGUGACGGCGCGAGCAGGUGCGAAAGCAGGUCAUAGUGAUCCGGUGGUUCUGAAUGGAAGGGCCAUCGCUCAACGGAUAAAAGGUACUCCGGGGAUAACAGGCUGAUACCGCCCAAGAGUUCAUAUCGACGGCGGUGUUUGGCACCUCGAUGUCGGCUCAUCACAUCCUGGGGCUGAAGUAGGUCCCAAGGGUAUGGCUGUUCGCCAUUUAAAGUGGUACGCGAGCUGGGUUUAGAACGUCGUGAGACAGUUCGGUCCCUAUCUGCCGUGGGCGCUGGAGAACUGAGGGGGGCUGCUCCUAGUACGAGAGGACCGGAGUGGACGCAUCACUGGUGUUCGGGUUGUCAUGCCAAUGGCACUGCCCGGUAGCUAAAUGCGGAAGAGAUAAGUGCUGAAAGCAUCUAAGCACGAAACUUGCCCCGAGAUGAGUUCUCCCUGACUCCUUGAG